rnacentral:lncRNA from 1 species
GUUGUUAAUUUGUAGUACAUUUUGCUUUUUUGUGUUUAUUUUUUGAAUUUGUGAAACAUUUACGUGGUUCCAAAUUACAUAUAAAAGCAUUCUUUUGGGAGACCAAGGUGGGGUCACUUGAGCCCAGGAGUUUGCGACCAGCCUUAGCAACAGAGGGAGUCAUAUUUGGGUUAUUGGAGAAUAGGACCAUAUAGUAAUGGGAUGCUUUUCUGUGCUUAGCACAGAACCCUAAGCAGAGAAGCCAAGAUUGACCUUGAAUUUCUCAGUGAAGUUUAACACUUCCAUGAAGAAGAAUGAGCAGUUUCCUACUGUGUGCAUUUCAGCUUUCCUUCUCGCCCACCACGCCGAUGAGCAGCCAUGGUCGAGUCCUGUCCCUGUUGGUUGCCAUGCUGCUUUCCUGCUGUGGACUGGCGGCCGUCUGCUCCAUCACCGGCUACACCCACGGAAUGCACACCUUGGCUUUCAUGGCUGCAGAGGUGAGAUACUGGAC